CCUACGGGUGGCAGCAGUGAGGAAUAUUGGUCAAUGGGCGAGAGCCUGAACCAGCCAAGUCGCGUGAGGGAGUACUGCCCUAUGGGUUGUAAACCUCUUUUGUCGGGGAGCAAAAUCCGGACGUUUCCGGCUGUGAGAGUACCCGAAGAAAAAGCAUCGGCUAACUCCGUGCCAGCAGCCGCGGUAAUACGGAGGAUGCGGGCGUUAUCCGGGUUUAUUGGGUUUAAAGGGUGCGUAGGCGGUUUGAUAAGUUAGAGGUGAAAUACCGGUGCUCAACACCGGAACUGCCUCUAAUACUGUUGAACUAGAGAGUAGGUGAGGUAGGCGGAAUGUAUGGUGUAGCGGUGAAAUGCUUAGAGAUCAUACAGAACACCGAUUGCGAAGGCAGCUUACCAAACUAUAUCUGACGUUGAGGCACGAAAGCGUGGGUAGCAAACAGGAUUAGAUACCCGGGUAGUC
rnacentral:rRNA from 1 species